AUCAAAACCCUAGCCGCUAACCCUGCUCGUCCCCUCCUCCCCGCUCCCUCCAUCCUCUCCCAUGUCGCCGCCCCUCUUCUCCCCGCUUGCCUCGGCCGCCUCCUCUCCUCCGCCGGGUCAUCGGCCCCCUCCCUUCUCCUACCUCCUCCUCCCUCCUCUCAGUCCGGUGCCAGCCGCCGCCCAAACCCUAGCCCCCGUUUCCCUCGAUCCCCACAGUAACCGCAUCCACAACCACCCGCUCAGCAAGGCCGAAGACCGGGCAGCGGACGCCUCACAGGGUGGAGGAGAGGCCAACGAUAGGGAAAAGCAGCAUCUUCAUGGAUGAGAUCCUGACGACUGAAGAUGGUGCGCGCGGGAGGAGCUUGGAAGAUGUCAAGGUGAGCUUGGCCGCCACCUCUCCUCUCAUCCCUUCUUUCCUCCCAAUUCUCCAAUCUGGAGUUGGUGGUCGCCGGCGCCGUGGGGUGAUAGAGGCCGUCACCUCUCCUCACCUCCUCUCAUCUUCCAGUGGUGGCGCCGCCGGGGAUGAGGGGAGCAGCAGCCGCAGCAGGCGGUGAUGCUGGUGAAGCGGUGGUCCAUGGUGCCUUCAUCGUUGUCGUCCUCGGCAGAAGAUGUGUGCAGAUCGAACGAAGAAGAGAAGAGGAAGGAUCUUGAGGAAGAGGAAAAAACAAGGAUGCUUGUUCAUUAUUCCUACCUGCAUUUCUCCCUCACUCCGAUCAGGCAAUGGGACUGUUGACCGGGUACAAGAGCUUCUUCAGAAAACCCAUGCUGCUUUUCUAAAUCGCAAUUUUGUUCAAGGCUAACAAUGAAAAUUUUAUCUGUAAAAUAUGGUGAUCCCUAUAGUGGUAUUUCUAAAGCUUCGAUGUGCUUGCUUUCCCCCAACAAGCAGUAAUCCCAUCAUGGUUGCAUCAGGUGAUAUAUCAUGUGAGAAAAUCGAACUACUCAUUCAUAAGACAUGAUUUUCGCUCACAUUUAUCAUGCUUCGACACUCACAAAAUAAAUACUUGGGCAAUUGCUCUGUUUUGUAUUGCGAGCCUUAAUUUGUGGGAUGCUAGCCGACCCUCCUCCGCGGAGAUCCUCCCGUGCGCAUCACUCGUGGCUGUCGGAUGGCUUUUGACUUUUGCUAUUGAUCAUUGGAUUGGUUGAAUGCAUGGUAAAUUUUGUUACCUUUUCUCUAUUUUUCUGGUUGGAUGACUUGUGGACCUUCUGUCUGUGUGAUUCGGUUGGUUCAUUGUGGGUGUUUUCAAAUCUUUGUGUAAGUCAACCAGUACGGCACGUGCGCGUGCUGGUGUAUGAGUCAUCUGACUCGCACUAUGGCUGAUGAAGCAAGAAAGAGUGCCACGGGCGGGAACCAGAGGACUUGCGAGAAGGGAGUACAACCAUUUUUGCAAUAUAUAGUUGAGAGAAUUCGAGCCUGCUACUAUAGCUGGAGACUGUUACUAUUGUCAAUUAUAAAAAUUAUGUUCUUCUAUGAUUUAGUGAAGUCGGGAGGAAAGUGGUGUGCAAAGGCAGAAGCUUUUGUAGCUGUGGUGUUCUUAAUAAUGGCACGGAAGGCCAAAAAACAUAGAUUUGGACAGGUUUUAUCUGUGUAAAAAACACAAAAGAAGAGCUUUUGCAUGACAUUAAAAACAAUGUUGGUUUGGUUCUAGAAAAAAAAGCAGUUUUCUGAACCCUGCUACUGUCACUAUGGUUGCAAUUUUCAUUUUUGUUGCAGAGCAGUUCUCUCAUGGUGUUUCUAUUAGCUGCGAGGAACGUUGAGCUAGCUUUUGUCUUGAAUCUCUUAGGUGUUAUGUAGAGGUUGGACUUUCUAGUGAGCUAAAUGGCCCAUUGGAACUGCUUGUUUGACCUUUUAAAAUGGUUUGGUGGUGCAGAUAAGUUUGGCCACAACCCAUCGGAUUUAGAUUUUAGGUGCCGUGUGAAACAAUUUCUUAGGCAGGUUAUUUUUUUUCUUAAGCAAGGCAUAUAGGUAGCAUGGGGAACGAUUUCUCGAGUAAUUUUAUUUGUUUGUUAUUAUAUUUGGGUACUUAUUUCCUGAUGUUUUUUAGGUUCUCUGUAUAACAUGGUAAAGUUGCUGGUAUGAUUUUGGAGGCAACACUGAUAUUUUUCUGCCAACUUUGUGGACAGGCUAACAAUGACAAUUUUAUCUGUAAAAUAUGGUGAUCCCUAUAGUGGUAUUUCUGAAGCUUUGUUGUGCUUGCUUUCCCCCCAACAAGCAGUAAUCCAAUCACGGGUGCAUCAGGUACUAUAUCAUGUGAGAAAAUCGAACUGCUCAUUCAUAAGACAGGAUUUCCGCUCACAUUUAUCAUGCUUCAACACUCACAAAAUAAAUACUUGGGCAAUUUCUCUGUUUUAUAUUGCGAGCCUUAAUUUGUGGUGCUAGUAGUAUUUUUUGCGUUUAUUUGAAAACCAACACUAAAUCACCAUUAUGCCUUACAGUGGCUCUUUUUUAUAUUGUAUUCGCUGUUAAUAUGGUAUCUUCUAAACUAUGUUACAGAAUUUUCAGUUGUGUUUAUACUACAUUCUCUUAUAAAUGUACAUUACAUUAUCUUCUAGCAAAUAUACUGAAUCACUAUUAUGCCUUGUAUGCAUGUUUUGGUAAAAAAAUGAGUUGAAGUCUUUAACAAUCCUUUUCAGACCCUCUCUCUGUUACACAUUUGCAUGAAAAAACAGAAGUAAAAGGGAAAACUUACUUUGGGUUCAUAUGGUGUAGACCAACAACAAAACGAUUGUUAAUGAAAGGUUUAAGUGCACGUAUACUCAAAACGAGGUCUUUUAUCUAAUUGGUUGGAUAACUUAUUUUCAUGUCUAUGUGGAUUUCCACAAUAACACUACCUCCAACUUUCUCAUUUCCCCUGCUCUGCAUACAAGUUCCAAACUAGGUAUGCCAAUCUUGUUAUCACUUGUUCAGUCGCAUUCUGGUUUAUGCCUUUUCACCUGCAUGUAGUGAGGCAGUGUGUGGAAUUUAGGUGCUAGUUUGAACAAAUUACAAUGAUGUAGUCCUACAGAUCAGUACAGGUCACCGGCUUUAUAUUGUGGUCAGCAUCUUGUAAGUACUUUGGGAAACAAGUUCUGGGGUAAGUUUAUCUGCUUGCUCAUGCAUUUUAAUACUUCAUUGAUGUCCUGAUAAUUUGUGAAGUUCUGUGUACCAUGUGAUAAGCUGCACAUCAGGUUGCAUGGCAGCUUGUUUGUUGCUUUUAGGAUGUCAUGUACCCAGGUGGAUCAAAUACAGAUACCAAUCAUAUAUUAUUAUUUUUACUCGUGUGUUUUUCUUGUGCCUGCCAAACAUUUCAAAAAUUGAUUAUAUCAUUCAGAUGUAUUCAGGCUGGGUUUUUGUGAUCCAAAAAAAUCAUGUGGCAUGGCUUUCUUUUUACAUACAAAACUAAGUGUGGAGCAGUGUAUAUGUUCAUUGCUUUCUUAUCACAUUGCAUUUGUCGGAGGUGCUAUACUGAUUUGAAGGAAAUGCUUUUAUAUUUCCAAGUUGAUCAACUACACAGUUUCUGAUCCUAAAGCCUUUCUUUAAAAGGGGCUGGUCAAUGCAGCUCCAUGUUGUGCUAUCUUGCUAUUGGGCUCUUUUUUCGUUACUUAAAAUGGUCAGAUAUCUCUGAUGUUAAAUUUGUGGUUGAUUGCUUAUAUCCAAAAUAACUAUGUUAGUACACUGAAGACAAUUUCUAUAUUGUUAGUGAAGUUGGCUAAAUAGUUUUUGCGCCACUAAGAUAUAUAUGUGCACUGCAUUCUAACCCUGUAAAUUGUUAUGCUAUUAGUUUAAUCCGGAAUAUAAUUAUGUUAGUACACUCUACAAUAUAAUUAUGUUAUAUUCUGCUUUUGUCAGUUUGCUGGUCCAUAUUAAUUUCCUCGAGCUUAUUUUCACAUCUCGUCAUAUUUACACCUCUCCGCCGACUGCCACCUAUCAUGGAGGGAGAUGGCUUGGCCAGGCCGUCAACACCCAUCAGGAACUUCCGGUAGGCGCCGUCCUGUUCUUCCUCCCCUUACUCUGAUGCCUUCAUGGCCAAAAUCAUUAGCAGGAGCAAGAAGGUUAAGCACCAAUUAUGGUUAAAGCUUUGUCUCUUUUGGGUACUAUGUGUUUGCUGGUUAGCUUACAAAUUCAAGUAAUACGACUAUUGCAAUGCAUCUUACUACAUGUGUAUUUAUUUGCAUUGAUAUUUUCUCCUUAGGCUCCAAACCGUUUGUGGGUCAUAAAUUAUUGUGCAUUAUUGAUGAUUAAUUUGCAAUUUAAAUGACAACAGGGCUGGGUUUUAUAAGUGCAAUGGUUUGAAAUGUGACCUUCCAGUCAAGAAAUUUCCUCAGUGAGAAGCUUAUGUGAAGAAUGAUGUAAUUAAGUUAGCAAUUUACAGUUCUCUUUGACAAUUGUAACUGAAUUGUCAAUGGCCAGUUCUCUUGAAUAAUGAGUGACUCCCUCAAUUUUACAAUAGAGAUAAUUUGUCAAAAUUUUGUUUUUGUGAUGUUUGUGGUCUUCUCUUUUCUUUUCUUGAUUUGUAUUGGAUAUGCUACUCGCAUAUUUGAACAUGCAUAGGGCCUCUCGGUCUUUAACCCUGACUAUAAAAAUCCAUUGAUGGAAGCUGGGAAGGGCCGAGAUGAACAUUCAGCUCCUUGGGUCUAAGCCAUCGAGAUGGUAGAUACGACGUUUCCAUGUCAUCUACUCCAGCAGCCGGACAAGGCAUAUAAAAACCAUGGAUCGUUUGCUCCCAAGGCCGCAAAAUGAUCACAGUGAUGUCUACGACCUCCUCCUAGAUGUAUUAAUCUCAAUCUCAUGUUUGAUUUUUUUCCCUUUUCUCUUCUAAUGAUGUAAUUUCUUUUACUAAGAUAACACCAUGUUUGUUGUAAUGCCUUAUUUGAUGUAAGAUCCCUUUUAUACUUUGAAUGAA